rnacentral:rRNA from 1 species
GACGAACGCUGGCGGCGUGCUUAACACAUGCAAGUCGAACGGAAAGGCCCUGCUUUUGUGGGGUGCUCGAGUGGCGAACGGGUGAGUAACACGUGAGUAACCUGCCCUUGACUUUGGGAUAACUUCAGGAAACUGGGGCUAAUACCGGAUAGGAGCUCCUGCUGCAUGGUGGGGGUUGGAAAGUUUCGGCGGUUGGGGAUGGACUCGCGGCUUAUCAGCUUGUUGGUGGGGUAGUGGCUUACCAAGGCUUUGACGGGUAGCCGGCCUGAGAGGGUGACCGGCCACAUUGGGACUGAGAUACGGCCCAGACUCCUACGGGAGGCAGCAGUGGGGAAUAUUGCACAAUGGGCGGAAGCCUGAUGCAGCAACGCCGCGUGCGGGAUGACGGCCCUCGGGUUGUAAACCGCUUUCGCCUGUGACGAAGCGUGAGUGACGGUAAUGGGUAAAGAAGCACCGGCUAACUACGUGCCAGCAGCCGCGGUGAUACGUAGGGUGCGAGCGUUGUCCGGAUUUAUUGGGCGUAAAGGGCUCGUAGGUGGUUGAUCGCGUCGGAAGUGUAAUCUUGGGGCUUAACCCUGAGCGUGCUUUCGAUACGGGUUGACUUGAGGAAGGUAGGGGAGAAUGGAAUUCCUGGUGGAGCGGUGGAAUGCGCAGAUAUCAGGAGGAACACCAGUGGCGAAGGCGGUUCUCUGGGCCUUUCCUGACGCUGAGGAGCGAAAGCGUGGGGAGCGAACAGGCUUAGAUACCCUGGUAGUCCACGCUGUAAACGGUGGGUACUAGGUGUGGGGUCCAUUCCACGGGUUCCGUGCCGUAGCUAACGCUUUAAGUACCCCGCCUGGGGAGUACGGCCGCAAGGCUAAAACUCAAAGGAAUUGACGGGGCCCCGCACAAGCGGCGGAGCAUGCGGAUUAAUUCGAUGCAACGCGUAGAACCUUACCUGGGUUUGACAUGGAUCGGGAGUGCUCAGAGAUGGGUGUGCCUCUUUUGGGGUCGGUUCACAGGUGGUGCAUGCCUGUCGUCAGCUCGUGUCGUGAGAUGUUGGGUUAAGUCCCGCAACGAGCGCAACCCUUGUUCACUGUUGCCAGCACGUUAUGGUGGGGACUCAGUGGAGACCGCCGGGGUCAACUCGGAGGAAGGUGGGGAUGACGUCAAGUCCUCAUGCCCCUUAUGUCCAGGGCUUCACGCAUGCUACAAUGGCUGGUACAGAGAGUGGCGAGCCUGUGAGGGUGAGCGAAUCUCGGAAAGCCGGUCCCAGUUCGGAUUGGGGUCUGCAACUCGACCUCAUGAAGUCGGAGUCGCUAGUAAUCGCAGAUCAGCAACGCUGCGGUGAAUACGUUCCCGGGGCU